rnacentral:rRNA from 1 species
UCCUUCGGGGGGAGAGCAGUAGGGAAUCUUCCACAAUGGACGAAAGUCUGAUGGAGCAACGCCGCGUGAGUGAUGAAGGAUUUCGGUGUCGUAAAAGCUCUGUUGCAAGGGAAGAACAAGUAGCGUAGUAACUGGCGGUACCUUGACGGUACCUUGUUAGAAAGCCACGGCUAACUACGUGCCAGCAGCCGCGGUAAUACGUAGGUGGCAAGCGUUGUCCGGAAUUAUUGGGCGUAAAGCGCGCGCAGGUGGUUCCUUAAGUCUGAUGUGAAAGCCCCCGGCUCAACCGGGGAGGGUCAUUGGAAACUGGGGAACUUGAGUGCAGAAGAGGAAAGUGGAAUUCCACGUGUAGCGGUGAAAUGCGUAGAGAUUUGGAGGAACACCAGUGGCGAAGGCGACUGUCUGGUCUGUAACUGACGCUGAGGCGCGAAAGCGUGGGGAGCAAACAGGAUUAGAUACCCUGGUAGUCCACGCCGUAAACGAUGAGUGCUAAGUGUUGGGGGGUUUCCGCCCCUUAGUGCUGCAGCUAACGCAUUAAGCACUCCGCCUGGGGAGUACGGCCGCAAGACUGAAACUCAAG